GAAGAAAGAGGGCAACUGCAAAGAGCAGAUGUCAAGAGGCUGUGGAAUCAACGUGUCUUGAGAAAGCGGAGAUGGAGACUUUGACCACUUCUUUUCAAUUAGUUCGCUUCACCAUCUGGAUCACCAUUGGAGCGCUGAGAAGCCAGAAGGAGAGGUGGCCUCCAGAUGUCUCUAGGGAGCCAACCAGGUUUCCGACAUUUAAGCUCUGCCCCCGUAGAUUUCUUGCAGCACAAGGACUUUGGAAUAAAUAACGGUGGUUUCAAAAUUUGGGACCCUCUUCUCCUGCAUGUCAGCCUGGAUAUACUGGAGGAAAACACCAGCAUAAUGCCUGUUCCUAGGAAUUUAUGUUUCCAAUCACCUGAUCACCUAGCUUUAAAGCUGGUCUAGAAAAGAAAAAGAAAGGUAAUUAAUUUAGACCUGAAAUAGGAAAUCUGACUUUCACUUAUAUUCAAGACCAUUUGUCUCCACUGCAACUUCCUAUAUCAAUCAAUAUAUGUUUCAAGAAAGUCCAACCUGCCCCCAGAAUAAUUGCAUUUUUUUAAAUUUGGAUUUUUCUUUAUUCCAGAGCAGUGGUGUGGGCAGUAGACUCUGAGCCAGGGUGCCCAUGUUUUAGUCUCUGUUCUGCUCUCAUCACUCUUGUCACUUUAGGUAAACUACUUAACCUUUCGAGACCUC